GGAAUCUUGGACAAUGGGGGCAACCCUGAUCCAGCGACGCCGCGUGGGUGACGAAGGCCUUCGGGUUGUAAAGCCCUUUUGCCGGGGACGAUGAUGACGGUACCCGGAGAAUAAGGACCGGCUAACUCCGUGCCAGCAGCCGCGGUAAGACGGAGGGUCCUAGCGUUGUUCGGAAUUACUGGGCGUAAAGGGCGCGUAGGCGGCCUGUUAAGUCGGGUGUGAAAGACCGGGGCUCAACCCCGGAACGGCAUCCGAGACUGCAGGGCUCGAGACCGGAAGAGGUGAGUGGAAUACCCAGUGUAGAGGUGAAAUUCGUAGAUAUUGGGUGGAACACCGGUGGCGAAAGCGGCUCACUGGUCCGGUUCUGACGCUGAGGCGCGAAAGCGUGGGGAGCAAA
rnacentral:rRNA from 1 species